rnacentral:rRNA from 1 species
AGAUUGAACGCUGGCGGCAUGCUUUACACAUGCAAGUCGAACGGCAGCGCGGGGCAACCUGGCGGCGAGUGGCGAACGGGUGAGUAAUAUAUCGGAACGUACCCAAGAGUGGGGGGAUAACGUAGCGAAAGUUACGCUAAUACCGCAUACGAUCUAAGGAUGAAAGCAGGGGACCGCAAGGCCUUGCGCUCCUGGAGCGGCCGAUAUCUGAUUAGCUAGUUGGUAGGUAAGGCCUACCAAGGCUACGAUCAGUAGCUGGUCUGAGAGGACGACCAGCCACACUGGAACUGAGACACGGUCCAGACUCCUACGGGAGCAGCAGUGGGGAAUUUGGACAAGUGGGCGCAAGCCUGACUCCAGGCAAUGCCGCGUAGAGUAGAAAGGAAGGCCGUUUACGGGUAGUAAACGUCUACGUUUUAGUACGUAAGG